UUUAGGACAAUUCCCACAUUUACCCAGAAAUAAUGUCUGGAAUGGUGCUCUUUUGCUAUUGCUUAACGCUUAAAAAGUUUUAAUGUUACUAAAUUAUUAGUGAGGUUAAUGUUAUACUUUUAAUUUUACUUCAUUCAGACGUCAUCUACGAUUUUGAGGUGAGAAAUAUCUUAAAUUCUAGUUGUUUGGAACGCAAUAUCACAACGUAACCCGGAUGCUGCAAAUCAUUUUGACAGAGAUAUUGAGGACAGACAAAAUCACAAUUUGCAGUUUGAUUUUAAAUUAAAGCUUUGACAAGCUACGUGACUAAAAUCUACAUUUAUCUGAUAUAACCUUCAAACACCUAAGAAAACACAUGGAACCUGAGAAGUCCAGUUCUGAUGUUCAGACUAUGGCAUUUCAACUGGUUCAUUGUGACAUGUAGACUAUAAUGCAAAGAAAAACACCAUAGUAUGUUAGUUCAAUGUCUUUCUACACUGUUUCAAAUGAAAAAUA